UACGAAGGGGGCUAGCGUUGCUCGGAAUGACUGGGCGUAAAGGGCGCGUAGGCGGUUUUUAAAGUCAGGUGUGAAAUUCCCGGGCUCAACCUGGGGGCUGCACUUGAUACGGAUGGACUGGAGUGGGGAAGAGGGUCGUGGAAUUCCCAGUGUAGAGGUGAAAUGCGUAGAUAUUGGGAAGAACACCGGUGGCGAAGGCGGCGACCUGGUCCUUGACUGACGCUGAGGCGCGAAAGCGUGGGGAGCAAACAGG
rnacentral:rRNA from 1 species